rnacentral:rRNA from 1 species
CGUUAAUUGCGAUAACGAACGAGACCUUAACCUGCUAAAUAGCCAGGCGAGCUUUGCUCGUCGCCGGCUUCUUAGAGGGACUAUCGGCUCAAGCCGAUGGAAGUUUGAGGCAAUAACAGGUCUGUGAUGCCCUUAGAUGUUCUGGGCCGCACGCGCGCUACACUGACAGAGCCAACGAGUACGAACCUUGGCCGAAAGGUCUGGGUAAUCUUGUUAAACUCUGUCGUGCUGGGGAUAGGGCAUUGCAAUG